rnacentral:rRNA from 1 species
UGGGGAAUAUUGGACAAUGGGGGGAACCCUGAUCCAGCCAUGCCGCGUGUGUGAAGAAGGCCUUAUGGUUGUAAAGCACUUUAAGCGAGGAGGAGGCUACUUUAGUUAAUACCUAGAGAUAGUGGACGUUACUCGCAGAAUAAGCACCGGCUAACUCUGUGCCAGCAGCCGCGGUAAUACAGAGGGUGCGAGCGUUAAUCGGAUUUACUGGGCGUAAAGCGUGCGUAGGCGGCUUAUUAAGUCGGAUGUGAAAUCCCCGAGCUUAACUUGGGAAUUGCAUUCGAUACUGGUGAGCUAGAGUAUGGGAGAGGAUGGUAGAAUUCCAGGUGUAGCGGUGAAAUGCGUAGAGAUCUGGAGGAAUACCGAUGGCGAAGGCAGCCAUCUGGCCUAAUACUGACGCUGAGGUACGAAAGCAUGGGGAGCAAACA